rnacentral:rRNA from 1 species
CGCGUUAACGAACGAGACCUCGACCUGCUAAAUAGUUCGACAAAGAUUCUCCUUUGGACGUGACUUCUUAGAGGGACUAUCGGUGUGUAGCCGACGGAAGUUCGAGGCAAUAACAGGUCUGUGAUGCCCUUAGAUGUUCUGAGCCGCACGCGCGCUACACUGAUGCAUGCAUCGAGUUUACAACCUUGACUGAGAGGUCCGGGUAAUCUUUGCAACAUGCAUCGUGCUGGGGAUAGAUGAUUGUAAUUAUUCAUCUUCAACGAGGAAUUCCUAGUAAACGUAAGUCAUCAACUUGCAUUGAUUACGUCCAUGCCCUUUGUACACACCGCCCGUCGCUAAUACCGAUUGAAUGGCUAG